CGACACGCGGGGGGGAGAGGGGGCGCUGCGGCCGCGGAGAGGUGCGAGAGAAAGACGCGGCGUUUCACCUAGCGCGCAUGCGCUCGAGCGGCGGCGGGGAUGGAUGUUUUGAGCGCCAGGUCGCGGUUGCUCUCUCUCUGUGUGGUACCUUUCUCCAGAGGUCACUGCAGAAAACAAGCUUGUGACACCAUCCUGGCAGGAGCAAAUCAGGCUUCGUGGCAAGGUAUUGCAGAACUAUUCCUAUCCUUACUGCACUCUGUAAGGACACCAUGAAGUCUCCUUCUGUUCACCCAUGCUUGGUCACAGC
rnacentral:lncRNA from 1 species